UACGUAGGGGGCAAGCGUUGUCCGGAAUCAUUGGGCGUAAAGAGCGUGUAGGCGGCCCGGUAAGUCCGCUGUGAAAGUCCAGGGCUCAACCCUGGAAUGCCGGUGGAAACUGUCGGGCUAGAGUCCGGAAGAGGCGAGUGGAAAUUCCUGGUGGUAGCGGUGAAAUGCGCAGAUAUCAAGGAGGAACACCAAUGGCGAAGGAGCUCGCUGGGACGGUGACUGGACGCUGAGACGCGAAAGCGUGGGGAGCAAACAGG
rnacentral:rRNA from 1 species